rnacentral:lncRNA from 1 species
GGCAAUUUGGAUGUCAAGGUACCAAAAACUGAGCAGCAAAGAUCCUGGUGAGGAGGGAGGUGGCAAUAGUGAACCUGAUGCUCGAAAACUUACUGGUGAACAUUUUGGUGAAUAAAGUUGUGAAGAGCAGGAAGCCAGGAGGCUGAGAAGAAAACGGUCAGGGUGCCACCAUCCUGGGGACACAGCAACGGAGGCCAGGGCUCGCCAGGCUCCUGUGGGGAUGCCUGGAAGCGUGCCCACUGGCAAAGGGCACCAAAAGCCUAGCCAGUCCAUAAAAGCAUCACAAGGCCUAUCAAAAAGCAUGGCCAAGAGGAAAAAAUGGACAACAGCACAGACCGCAGACCACUCAGUGGUCGGUGUCACCACAGAGGGACUGAGCCACUUAGGAAGGGGAUGAUGACAGAGAGAAUCUCACUAGGUGCCCGGAACCUACUACAGAGCAGACAUUUUAGAGCUGAAAAAAGCAGUGACUAAAAUUAAAAAGUUAGUAGAUGGGCUCAGCAACAGAAGGAAAUUGAUUAAAGGGGAAAGAGGAUAGAGAAUCACAGGAGGGGAAUUCAGAGAGCAC